rnacentral:rRNA from 1 species
GGUGAGUAACACGUGGAUAACCUACCUAUAAGACUGGGAUAACUUCGGGAAACCGGAGCUAAUACCGGAUAAUAUUUUGAACCGCAUGGUUCAAAAGUGAAAGACGGUCUUGCUGUCACUUAUAGAUGGAUCCGCGCUGCAUUAGCUAGUUGGUAAGGCAACGGCUUACCAAGGCAACGAUGCAUAGUCGACCUGAGAGGGUGAUCGGCCACACUGGAACUGAGACACGGUCCAG